rnacentral:rRNA from 1 species
AGUGAACGCUGGCGGUAGGCCUAACACAUGCAAGUCGAACGGCAGCACAGUAAGAGCUUGCUCUUACGGGUGGCGAGUGGCGGACGGGUGAGGAAUACAUCGGAAUCUACUUUUUCGUGGGGGAUAACGUAGGGAAACUUACGCUAAUACCGCAUACGACCUACGGGUGAAAGCAGGGGAUCUUCGGACCUUGCGCGAUUGAAUGAGCCGAUGUCGGAUUAGCUAGUUGGCGGGGUAAAGGCCCACCAAGGCGACGAUCCGUAGCUGGUCUGAGAGGAUGAUCGGCCACACUGGAACUGCGGCGCGGUCCAGACUCCUACGGGGGGCAGCAGUGGGGAAUAUUGGACAAUGGGCGCAAGCCUGAUCCAGCCAUACCGCGUGGGUGAAGAUGGCCUUCGGGUUGUAAAGCCCUUUUGUUGGGAAAGAAAAGCAGCAGGUUAAUACCCCGCUGUUCUGACGGUACCCAAAGAAUAAGCACCGGCUAACUUCGUG